GUGCUCACUUUGGCAGCACAUAUACUAAAAUCGGAAUGAUAAGGAGAUUAGCAUGGCCCCUGUGCAAGGAUGACACACAAAUUCAUGAAGUGUUCUAUAUUUUU
ensembl:snRNA U6 U6 spliceosomal RNA